UGUGUGCGCACACUUGUGGAGGCCAUAGAUCAAUGUCAGAAUCAAUGCUUAGAAUCUAAACCAGGCUAGCAAGCCAGAGUCCAGGUGUGAAUGUCAGAGAACAACUUGUGGGAGAUGAUUCCCUCCUUCCAUGGUUCGGGUUCCAGGUUCAAACUCAGAUCAUUAACCUUGACGGAGGAUACGGUGCAACUAUCAUCAGUUAUCCUGAAUCCGGGUUCAUCCGACACCAGCCACCUCCACCAUGCCACCCAAGUUCGAUCCCAAUGAGAUCAAAGUCAUGUACUUGAGGUGCACCGAAGGUGAGAGGACAGGAUGCUCCUUCCCAGAACCCACAAGGCCACUCACACCAUUUGUAACUCCAGGGGAUCUGAUGCCCUCUUCUGACCUCCUCAGCAGCCCUGUGUGAUGGCCUCGAAUCCCAGCACUCUAGAGAUAGAAACAGACAAGACCUCUGUGAGUUGGAGGCUAGCCUUUUUGACUCAGUGAGUUCCAGGUCAGUCUGGACAAUAUAAGACUCUGUCCCACAAUAAAUAAGUAAAU
rnacentral:lncRNA from 1 species